CCUAACUUAGCGGCGGACGGGUGAGUAAUACUUAGGAAUCUGCCUAUUAGUGGGGGACAACAGUUGGAAACGACUGCUAAUACCGCAUACGCCCUACGGGGGAAAGCAGGGGAUCUUCGGACCUUGCGCUAAUAGAUGAGCCUAAGUCAGAUUAGCUAGUUGGUGGGGUAAAGGCCUACCAAGGCGACGAUCCGUAACUGGUCUGAGAGGAUGAUCAGUCACACUGGAACUGAGACACGGUCCAGACUCCUACGGGAGGCAGCAGUGGGGAAUAUUGGACAAUGGGCGAAAGCCUGAUCCAGCCAUGCCGCGUGUGUGAAGAAGGUCUUCGGAUUGUAAAGCACUUUAAGUUGGGAGGAAGGGCAGUUACCUAAUACGUGAUUGUUUUGACGUUACCGACAGAAUAAGCACCGGCUAACUCUGUGCCAGCAGCCGCGGUAAUACAGAGGGUGCAAGCGUUAAUCGGAAUUACUGGGCGUAAAGCGCGCGUAGGUGGUUUGUUAAGUUGGAUGUGAAAUCCCCGGGCUCAACCCGGGA
rnacentral:rRNA from 1 species